rnacentral:rRNA from 1 species
CAACCCUUGACAUGGGUAUCGCGGGACCAGAGAUGGUCCUUUCAGUUCGGCUGGAUACCACACAGGUGCUGCAUGGCUGUCGUCAGCUCGUGUCGUGAGAUGUUCGGUUAAGUCCGGCAACGAGCGCAACCCACACUUUCAGUUGCCAUCAUUCAGUUGGGCACUCUGGAAGAACUGCCGGUGAUAAGCCGGAGGAAGGUGUGGAUGACGUCAAGUCCUCAUGGCCCUUACGGGUUGGGCUACACACGUGCUACAAUGGUGGUGACAAUGGGUUAAUCCCCAAAAGCCAUCUCAGUUCGGAUUGUCGCCUGCAACUCGGCGGCAUGAAGUCGGAAUCGCUAGUAAUCGCGUAACAGCAUGACGCGGUGAAUACGUUCCC